rnacentral:tRNA from 1 species
CGGUUGUUUAGCUGGUUGGAAUUCCGCCCUGUCACGGCGGUGGUCGUGGGUUCGAGCCCCGAUCCUA